CAACGGGUGCGGAACACGUACAGAACCUACCUUUACCUGGGGCAUAGCCCGAAGAAAUUCGGAUUAAUUCCCCAUAAUAUGAUUGGGUGGCAUCACUUGGUUAUUAAAAAUUUAUUGGGUAAAGAUGGCUGUGCGUCCCAUUAGCUAGUUGGUAGGGUAACGGCCUACCAAGGCGACGAUGGGUAGCUGGUGUGAGAGCACGACCAGCCACACGGGCACUGAGACACGGGCCCGACUCCUACGGGAGACAGCAGUGAGGAAUAUUGGUCAAUGGACGCAAGUCUGAACCAGCCAUGCCGCGUGAAGGAUGAAGGCCUUCUGGGUUGUAAACUUCUUUUACCUGGGAAGAAACCUCUGAUUUCUAUUAGAGUUGACGGUACCAGAGGAAUAAGCACCGGCUAACUCCGUGCCAGCAGCCGCGGUAAUACGGAUGGUGCAAGCGUUAUCCGGAUUUACUGGGUUUAAAGGGUGUGUAGGCGGGCUUUUAAGUCAGUGGUGAAAUCUCCGGGCUCAACCUGGAAACUGCCAUUGAUACUAUUAGUCUUGAAUUUUGUUGAGGUAGGCGGAAUAAGUCAUGUAGCGGUGAAAUGCAUAGAUAUGACUUAGAACACCAAUUGCGAAGGCAGCUUGCUAAACAAACAUUGACGCUGAGGCACGAAAGCGUGGGGAUCAAACAGGAUUAGAUACCCUGGUAGUCCACGCCCUAAACGAUGAUUACUCGACAUACGCGAUACACAGUGUGUGUCUGAGCGAAAGCAUUAAGUAAUCCACCUGGGAAGUACGACCGCAAGGUUGAAAC
rnacentral:rRNA from 1 species